GGGGCUGUUAUGGAUUUGACAAUAUUUACGUAACCUUAGGUGCAUGUCGAGAUAAGGUAAUCUCGUAAAAUAACCUAAAAAAAAUAAUUGCAAAAAAAUCGCAAUAUGAAUCUGCUGCAUUUGCAUUAGCAGCUUAAUCGGCCUAACAACUGAAGAUUCCCUCUAUCCCUAGUCUUCGCUCUUAGAACGGGGGAAAUAGAGGUCAAAAAUAACAAAAGAGAUCGCGUUUAAUUUUUUUUCUGGACUUGAACGUUAAAAUUUAAUCAGAAUAGUUUAUCAUUUACGUGUCUGUCCGUAGUUGAUCAGCGAAAUUAAAGACAAAACUAAGCAUGUAGUACCAAAGGCGUAGAAAUGUUGGACGCGGGUUCAAAUCCCGCCAGCUCCACUC
rnacentral:tmRNA from 1 species